rnacentral:rRNA from 1 species
AACGAACGCUGGCGGCAGGCUUAACACACGCAAGUCGAACGGAUCUUCGGGAUUAGUGGCAKACGGGUGGGUAACGCGUGGGAACGUACCCUUUGCUACGGAAUAACUCAGGGAAACUUGAGCUAAUACCGUAUGUGCCUACGGGGGAAAGAUUUAUCGGCAAAGGAUCGGCCCGCGUUGGAUUAGCUAGUUGGUGGGGUAAUGGCCUACCAAGGCGACGAUCCAUAGCUGGUCUGAGAGGAUGAUCAGCCACACUGGGACUGAGACACGGCCCAGACUCCUACGGGAGGCAGCAGUGGGGAAUAUUGGACAAUGGGCGCAAGCCUGAUCCAGCCAUGCCGCGUGAGUGAUGAAGGUCUUAGGGUUGUAAAGCUCUUUUACCCGGGAUGAUAAUGACAGUACCGGGAGAAUAAGCUCCGGCUAACUCCGUGC